rnacentral:rRNA from 1 species
UACGAAGGGGGCUAGCGUUGUUCGGAAUUACUGGGCGUAAAGCGCGCGUAGGCGGACCAUCAAGUCGGAGGUGAAAUCCUGAAGCUUAACUUCAGAACUGCCUUCGAUACUGUUGGUCUUGAGGUCGGGAGAGGUGAGUGGAACUGCGAGUGUAGAGGUGAAAUUCGUAGAUAUUCGCAAGAACACCAGUGGCGAAGGCGGCUCACUGGCCCGAAUCUGACGCUGAGGCGCGAAAGCGUGGGGAGCAAACAGG